rnacentral:rRNA from 1 species
AUUGAACGCUGGCGGUAUGCUUAACACAUGCAAGUCGAACGGUAACAGGACGCUGGGAUCCCUUCGGGGUGACCUUGUCGCUGACGAGUGGCGGACGGGUGAGUAAUACUUAGGAAUCUGCCCAGUAGUGGGGGACAACACGGGGAAACUCGUGCUAAUACCGCAUACGCCUUACGAGGGAAAGUGGGGGAUCUUCGGACCUCACGCUAUUGGAUGAGCCUAAGUCGGAUUAGCUUGUUGGUGAGGUAAAGGCUCACCAAGGCGACAAUCCGUAGCUGGUCUGAGAGGACGAUCAGCCACACUGGGACUGAGACACGGCCCAGACUCCUACGGGAGGCAGCAGUGGGGAAUAUUGGACAAUGGGGGCAACCCUGAUCCAGCAAUACCGCGUGUGUGAAGAAGGCCUGCGGGUUGUAAAGCACUUUCAGUAGAGAAGAAAAGCUUACGCUUAAUACGUGUGAGUCUUGACGUAACCUACAGAAGAAGCACCGGCUAACUCCGUG